rnacentral:rRNA from 1 species
AGUGAACGCUGGCGGCGUGGAUUAGGCAUGCAAGUCGAACGAUCCCGCAAGGGAUAGUGGCAAAAGGGUGAGUAACACGUGAGUAAUCUACCUUCGAGUGGGGAAUAACACCGGGAAACCGGUGCUAAAACCGCAUAAGACCACGGAUCGGCAUCGAUCUGAGGACAAAAGUGGGGACCGCAAGGCCUACUGCUUGAAGAUGAACUCGCGUCCUAUCAGUUAGUUGGCGGGUAACGGCCCACCAAGACUUUGACGGGUAGCUGGUCUGAGAGGAUGGUCAGCCACAUUGGGACUGAGAUACUGCCCAGACUCCUACGGGAGGCAG